rnacentral:lncRNA from 1 species
UGGAUAAUCACGAGGGCGGUGAUUGAUCUCAUCGAUGCAUUAAUCGCUUCCCUUAGAAUAGAUGAGUCUCGAGUCUAUAGUAUGAAAAUACUAGAAUGAGAGUGCAGGUGUUGUUAGAAAAUAAAGGUACUGAGUAUGACCAUUACGAGAAGUUAUUUGGAUGACUAUCUGCUCUCAGUGACUUACUCGAUGCUACAGUAGUUUGACGAG